CACUCCUGCGGGAGGCAGCAGUGGGGAAUUUUGGACAAUGGGCGAAAGCCUGAUCCAGCAAUGCCGCGUGAGUGAAGAAGGCCUUCGGGUUGUAAAGCUCUUUUGUCAGGGAAGAAACGGUGAAAGCUAAUAUCUUUUGCUAAUGACGGUACCUGAAGAAUAAGCACCGGCUAACUACGUGCCAGCAGCCGCGGUAAUACGUAGGGUGCAAGCGUUAAUCGGAAUUACUGGGCGUAAAGCGUGCGCAGGCGGUUUUGUAAGUCUGAUGUGAAAUCCCCGGGCUCAACCUGGGAAUUGCAUUGGAGACUGCAAGGCUAGAAUCUGGCAGAGGGGGGUAGAAUUCCACGUGUAGCAGUGAAAUGCGUAGAUAUGUGGAGGAACACCGAUGGCGAAGGCAGCCCCCUGGGUCAAGAUUGACGCUCAUGCACGAAAGCGUGGGGAGCAAACAGGAUUAGAAACCCAGUAGUCCCAUGAU
rnacentral:rRNA from 1 species